rnacentral:rRNA from 2 species
CCACCACUAAGCCAGUGGUGGAUUCCACAUACGCAUCCUUUGCUGAGGAUACGGUUAACGGAGCGAAAGCGACGUUCAACCUCAAAAGAAGCAGAGGGGGCUUAGUGGUGGGGUGACUGCGUACCUUUUGUAUAAUGGGUCAGCGACUUAUAUUCUGUAGCAAGGUUAACCGUAUAGGGGAGCCGGAGGGAAACCGAGUCUUAAC